UACAGAGGUCUCAAGCGUUGUUCGGAUUCAUUGGGCGUAAAGGGUGCGUAGGUGGCGGGGUAAGUCAGGUGUGAAAUCUCGGGGCUCAACCCCGAAACUGCACUUGAUACUGCCUUGCUCGAGUACUGGAGAGGAGAUUGGAAUUUACGGUGUAGCGGUGAAAUGCGUAGAGAUCGGGAAGAACGCCGGCGGCGAAAGCGACUCUCUGGUCGGAAUCUGACGCUGAGGCGCGAAAGCUAGGGGAGCAAACGGG
rnacentral:rRNA from 1 species